UGGAAUUAAGAAGCGAUUACGGUGGAUAAUGUUUGUCACCACGGUGGAUUUUGAAUGGAAAUGCAAAUUACGCACACAUCGUUACUGAUUCUGAGAUUGAGCAAAGCAUAGAACGAAGCUAUUUACGAAUGAGCGUUUUUCGAAUCGAGCAUUCCGAUGAGAGGAGGAAUUGCUCCGAGCAUUGCGAGAUUCACUCUCGCUUCGGCAUCUUCCUUCACCAACGAGCUCACUCUCUCCGCCACGAUUCUUGUUAAGCCACUAGCAAGUGUACCAGAUCAUUAUCAAGUAAUAUAAUUGGUAAACCCAAUAUCG
rnacentral:lncRNA from 1 species